GGAGGAUUGCCGGAGUUUGGCUAAUCGGCGCACUUUGCUAAAGUGAUGGGUGUAAAAGCCACGGAGGUUCAAAUCCUCUAUCCUCCU
rnacentral:tRNA from 1 species